rnacentral:lncRNA from 1 species
AUUUUUUGGGAAUUUUUGGGAAUAUUUUUGGGAAUUUUUUGGAAUUUUUUGGUGAAUUUUUUGGGAAUUUUUGGGUUCAUUUCGGGCGAUUUUGGGGUCAUUUCCGGUCCCCUCCCCCCACAAACUCAGCCCCAGCCGCCGGCGCUGACUCAGCGUUUAUUGACACCACGUGACCCGGGAGGGGGCGUGGCCACGCACAAACCACGCCCACAACCCCUAAAUCCCACCCGCUUCCGCAAAAGGGGGGCGGGGCUUACGCCGUACCCGUGGGGGCGAAGCUCCGCCCACAGAGCGCGCAGGAAAAGGGGCGUGGCCCCGCCGCCAUCUUGGAUCCGGCGGCCACGUCGAGCUCCGCCACGUUGGCGUCCGCCAUGUUGUUUUCCAAAAUGGCGGCCACGCCGGCGUCGGCCAUUUUCUUUUCCAAGGCCGGGAUUCCCGCCAUAUUUGCGGCGGCCAUCUUGUUUUCCAAAAUGGCGGCCAUAUUGGUGGCGGCCAUAUUGGUGGCAGCCAUAUUGGUGGCGGCCAUAUUGUUUCGCCCAACAACCGCCAUAUUUCCGGCGGCCAUAUUGCUCCCACCGGCGGCCAUAUUGCUCCCACCGGCGGCCAUAUUACUCCCACC